GAUGAAGAACUUAGCGAAAUGCGAUAAGUAGUGUGAAUUGCAGAAUUCAGUGAAUCAUCGAAUCUUUGAACGCACAUUGCGCCCUUUGGUAUUCCUUAGGGCAUGCCUGUUCGAGCGUCAUUUAAACCUUCAAGCUCAGCUUGGUGUUGGGUGACUGUCCGCUUCACCGCGGACUCGCCUCAAAAUUAUUGGCGGCCGGUACAUUGGCUUCGAGCGCAGCAGAAACGCGAACUCGGGCCCGUCGUAUUGGCUCCCAGAAGCUAUCUUCACAAUUUUGACCUCGGAUCAGGUAGGGAUACCCGCUGAACUUAAGCAUAUCAAUAAGCGGAGGA
rnacentral:misc_RNA from 1 species